rnacentral:antisense_RNA from 1 species
CUUCAGCGAGCCGACCCACAGGGGCGCGUGGGCCGGGCGGUCCUGGCCGUAGGUGGCGAGGAGGGCCUCGGCCUC